AAAACAUUCACCUGGGGGUAAUGAUGGAGAGGUAUUUAGAAAUAGAAAAGCAUUAUUUUCUCCGACAUUUAAAUUACUGGAAAUGCUAGUCAUAAAACUAUAGACAAUAGACAUGAUUGCUUGUUGGCAUGGGUCUCUGCAUGAAGCCACCAUUUUUUGGAUAUUAAGGACGUAUUAAGGACCCGCUUGGAGACUGGUGACUUUUCAAAUUAAAUCCUGCUUGGUGAUAGUGCAUAUGCAUUGAGGGGAUAUAUGCAGAAAGAGAGCCGAAGAAAUGUUUCAGAAUUAUCGGAAUAUGGAAACGCCACUUUCCAAUAUGUUUUAUGGUAUAAGACCAAAAUUGCAAACCACAAUGUCAGUUAUUGUUGCACAACAAUUUUGUUGUUUCAAUGUGCUACACAAUACAGCCAGAAUGAUACCUGAACAAGAGCUGCCGCCGUUAGAUGAAAUAAAUAUGGACCAAAUUAAUAAGAAGAGAAAUAGUAAAUUAUUUUGAAAGAUUAGGGCAAUAUUUUUUUAACUUAUUCUAAACAUGUUUUUAUGUUGCUAUUGUUGCUGUUGUUUUUUUUGUUUUUGAGUAUUAAUUUCUAUAAAAUAUCAUUAUUAAAUGUCUUUUAUUCAGAAAUAACAUACAUUACAGUUUUUACAUUAGAAUAUAAACAAUAAUUAAAAUUAUUAAAUAAGUUCUCUUUAAGAACUUCACUGUUCUUUUUUUAUUUCAAUGUCUACAAGCAACCCUUUUUUUCUUUAGCUUAUGUUCUUCUCUGUUUUGAAUACUACUACUUUGAAUUUUGCCCCAUCUCCAUAUU